rnacentral:snRNA from 1 species
AUACUUACCUGGCAGGGGCGAUACCAUGAUCACGAAGGUGGUUCACGCAGGAUGACGACAUCUGAUGCUACUGUUAGCAUGGCAGGUUCCAGGCGGAACGCUGUACGAUUUGAGCUAC